GCUGGGCGUAGUGGCGCACGCCUAUAAUCCCAGAAACUCAGGAGGCUGAGGCAGGAGGAUUGCGAGUUCAAAGCCAGCCUCAGCAAAGUGAAGCACUAAGCAACUCAAUAAGAUCCUGCCUCUA
rnacentral:sRNA from 1 species